UUAUAUUUUAUUCUAGGUCAAGUGCAGAUACCAAUCGAACAUAAAGAUAAUGCAGUUAAAUUGAAUGGUGCGAAUAUUACUAAAAUUCUAACAUUUGCCGCAAUCCUGCUUUUUAUGGUCAAUCUUCAUUAAGGAUCUUGCAAAAAAGAAAAC